AUUGAACGCUGGCGGCAGGCCUAACACAUGCAAGUCGAACGGUAGCACAGAGGAGCUUGCUCCUUGGGUGACGAGUGGCGGACGGGUGAGUAAUGUCUGGGAAACUGCCCGAUGGAGGGGGAUAACUACUGGAAACGGUAGCUAAUACCGCAUAACGUCGCAAGACCAAAGAGGGGGACAUUCGGGCCUCUUGCCAUCGGAUGUGCCCAGAUGGGAUGAGCUAGUAGGUGGGGUAACGGCUCACCUAGGCGACGAUCCCUAGCUGGUCUGAGAGGAUGACCAGCCACACUGGAGCUGAGACACGGUCCAGACUCCUACGUGAGGCAGCAGUGGGGAAUAUUGCACAAUGUGCGCAAGCCUGAUGCAGCCAUGCCGCGUGUAUGAAGAAGGCCUUCGGGUUGUAAAGUACUUUCAGCGAGGAGGAAGGUGUUGUGGUUAAUAACCGCAGCAAUUGACGUUACUCGCAGAAGAAGCACCGGCUAACUCCGUGCCAGCCGCCGCAGUA
rnacentral:rRNA from 1 species